ensembl:snoRNA
UUCCACAGCUAGUGAUAUGCAACUGUUCUUAAGGUAGCAGUUGUGACAUUCUUCUGUGAGAAAGAAAUAAUGACACAAAUUUAAAUACCUCUUGCCUAGCAAAACAGAAAGUUGGCAUAUGUGUGACAAAUAAGA